rnacentral:rRNA from 1 species
UACGAAGGGGGCUAGCGUUGCUCGGAAUCACUGGGCGUAAAGCGCACGUAGGCGGACUCUUAAGUCGGUGGUGAAAUCCUGGAGCUCAACUCCAGAACUGCCUUCGAUACUGAGAGUCUCGAGUCCGAGAGAGGUGAGUGGAACUGCGAGUGUAGAGGUGAAAUUCGUAGAUAUUCGCAAGAACACCAGUGGCGAAGGCGGCUCACUGGCUCGGUACUGACGCUGAGGUGCGAAAACGUGGGGAGCAAACAGG